GGGGAGGAGAGGAGGCCCUAGGCCUGGACCCCCUUGCACCACUUUGGGUCAGGAGAUACUGGGCCUGGACUGCCUUCCACUGCCGGGCGGGGAUGGGAGGCUCCAGGCGGCCGCGCUUUUUCCAGUCCGCGGUCCCCACCGGCCGGUUCCCCUCUUCCCCCCACUUCGAGGCCUGCAAUUGUCUGCUGUACUGGCUCCCAGUGCUGAAAGCUAUUAUGAGAAAUACCACUGCGAUGAGUCUUCACAUACAAGUGUCAGGUGCACCAUUUGACGGUCCCACCAGCAGCAUGAGAGAGUUCCAGUGUCUCCACAUCCUCGUCAACACUCACUACCUGACUUUUUGGGUCUAGCUCUCCAGGCCAGGAAGCCGAACCAAAUCCACCUCCCUCAGGUGUGCCCGCGGGACCUGUGUGUGUGCAAGUUUCUAUCUUCCAGAAGGUUCCAGUGUCUGCCAUGGCUCUUGGCCUGCCAGGAAGUAUCCUUCUUACUACUUGUGAGGCUGAGGCUUUGUGUGCCAGAGUACAGGUGCCCGGCCAGUAUGGGUCUGAGGGUUGUGUGGGCAUUGGUUCAGCACACAAGCCACAACCCUUGUUCCUUAAAGGUGGGCGUGUUGUGGAAGCACAGGAAAGUUAUUCUCAAAUAUGACACCCAUGUAAGGCCUGGGCUCCACUAUUAAUUUGUCUGAUUAUAUCCUGGUGACAAGGAGGACAAAUUUCUACUGCAACAAUGCAAAUUACUACGUUUUUAUUAAAAGUAAAUGUCAGUAAAACUAUUUUUCCUGAAUUCUGAAGUGAGAAAAACACCAUUUAAAGAACGUUUUAAUGUUUGUGAAAGGAUAGUCUCCUAAAGUAGAUUGUUGCAGAUACCGGGUAAAAAUAAAAAUUAAAUAAAUUAAAGGUGAGAUAGAUCAAAGAAGAA
ensembl:lncRNA novel transcript